rnacentral:misc_RNA from 1 species
UCUCCGUAGGUGAACCUGCGGAGGGAUCAUUACUGAGUGAGGGCUCACGCCCGACCUCCAACCCUUUGUGAACACAUCUUGUUGCUUCGGGGGCGACCCUGCCGGCACUUCGUCGCCGGGCGCCCCCGGAGGUCUCCAAACACUGCAUCGUUGCGUCUGAGUCGAAAUAUAAAUCAAUCAAAACUUUCAACAACGGAUCUCUUGGUUCUGGCAUCGAUGAAGAACGCAGC